UUCAGUGCUCAUUGCUGUUUCUUACAGUGACAAUUGGGAUAAGAGCCAUCAGUUCUAGCAUAUGCGGAUUAACUCGUUUGUGCAUGUGGAAAAGGAAGUCUACGUGGAUCUGCAACUGAGUGAAGGAUGGCCUGCAUGGUUUCCUCGGAACUAGUGGCGUGUUCCUGAGCCCGCCAAAAAGAUACAGGGUCAGUGUUGGUGGUUGUCACAUCACGGGGUCAAUGCUGUUUGUUAUUCUGCAGACUUCUGAGCACAAGGAAGAGCCGAUGACUGAUCCUUAUGACUGCCGGGCAGCAUUUACUUUCACACAUCCUACUCCAGAAGAUGAACACCUGUUCAUAUCAUGUGAUACGUCUAUGUAUCUGGGACUUCCAUUGGUUUAUUUUGAUGUUAUUGUGGGAGGGGUGUAGAACCCAUAUGCUAGGAUUUGGACGUGGUUCUGAAAUUCCUCUCUGGGAAGGAGAAGUGCCAGUGUUCUCCUCCUUAAAAUUAAGCCAAGGUGUCAUGAAUUGCCUGUCUCAGCAUGCAUUGCGGUUCCCAGCACGAGCACUGCGUUCACAUCAUCGCCAUGUGUUUUUUUUUUGGUGUUUUACCCAAUUGUGUCUUACUGUUUUGUGUUUCGCCCUUGAUUAGUUUGUCGAUUAAUACCCUGUUGUGUCAUGACACUGUUGCGGAGACUUAUUUUUGUGGAGUUUUGUAUAUUGUUAUUCUUCCUUGUUUUGACCCUCACCUGGUUUCCUAAGUGAUUGUCAAUGUUGUAUGCAUAUGUUUUGAGCCUUACCGUGGACACUGAUUCUGAUUCUUUGCCUGA